rnacentral:rRNA from 1 species
UACGGGGGGGGCAAGCGUUGUUCGGAAUUACUGGGCGUAAAGGGCUCGUAGGUGGCCAAUUAAGUCAGACGUGAAAUCCCCAGGCUCAACUUGGGAACUGCGUCUGAUACUGGUUGGCUUGAAUUCGGGAGAGGGAUGCAGAAUUCCAGGUGUAGCGGUGAAAUGCGUAGAUAUCUGGAGGAACACCGGUGGCGAAGGCGGCAUCCUGGACCGACACUGACGCUGAGGCGCGAAAGCUAGGGGAGCAAACGGG